rnacentral:rRNA from 1 species
ACGAACGCUGGCGGCGUGCUUAACACAUGCAAGUCGAACGGAAAGGCCCGCUUGCGGGUACUCGAGUGGCGAACGGGUGAGUAACACGUGGGCAACCUGCCCUCAGCUCUGGGAUAACUCCGGGAAACCGGUGCUAAUACUGGAUAUCGACUUCUGCCUCGCAUGGGGUGUUGUUGAAAGUUUUUCGGCUGGGGAUGGGCCCGCGGCCUAUCAGCUUGUUGGUGGGGUGAUGGCCUACCAAGGCGACGACGGGUAGCCGGCCUGAGAGGGCGACCGGCCACACUGGGACUGAGACACGGCCCAGACUCCUACGGGAGGCAGCAGUGGGGAAUAUUGCGCAAUGGGCGGAAGCCUGACGCAGCGACGCCGCGUGAGGGAUGACGGCCUUCGGGUUGUAAACCUCUUUCAGCUCUGACGAAGCGAGAGUGACGGUAGGAGCAGAAGAAGCACCGGCCAACUACGU